rnacentral:rRNA from 1 species
CACGUAGGGGACGAGCGUUGUCCGGAUUCAUUGGGCGUAAAGCGCGCGUAGGCGGCUCGGAAAGUCGGUCGUGAAAUGCCGGGGCUCAACCCCGGGACUGCGUCCGAUACUCCCGAGCUGGAGGCAGGUAGGGGAGAUCGGAAUUCCUGGUGUAGCGGUGAAAUGCGCAGAUAUCAGGAGGAACACCGGUGGCGAAGGCGGCUCUCUGGACCGAGACUGACGCUGAGGCGCGAAAGCGUGGGGAGCAAACAGG